CUACGUGCCAGCAGCCGCGGUAAUACGUAGGUCCCGAGCGUUGUCCGGAUUUAUUGGGCGUAAAGCGAGCGCAGGCGGUUUGAUAAGUCUGAAGUUAAAGGCUGUGGCUCAACCAUAGUUCGCUUUGGAAACUGUCAAACUUGAGUGCAGAAGGGGAGAGUGGAAUUCCAUGUGUAGCGGUGAAAUGCGUAGAUAUAUGGAGGAACACCGGUGGCGAAAGCGGCUCUCUGGUCUGUAACUGACGCUGAGGCUCGAAAGCGUGGGGAGCGAACAGGAUUAGAUACCCUGGUAGUCCACGCUGUAAACGUUGGGCACUAGGUGUGGGGGCCACCCGUGGUUUCUGCGCCGUAGCUAACGCUUUAAGUGCCCCGCCUGGGGAGUACGGCCGCAAGGCUAAAACUCAAAGGAAUUGACGGGGGCCCGCACAAGCGGCGGAGCAUGCGGAUUAAUUCGAUGCAACGCGAAGAACCUUACCAGGUCUUGACAUCCCGAUGCUAUUUCUAGAGAUAGAAAGUUA
rnacentral:rRNA from 1 species